GGCGAACGGGUGAGUAGCGCAUCGGAACGUGCCCAGUAGUGGGGGAUAGCUCGGCGAAAGCCGGAUUAAUACCGCAUACGACCCAUGGGUGAAAGCGGGGGACCGCAAGGCCUCGCGCUAUUGGAGCGGCCGAUGCCCGAUUAGCUAGUUGGUGAGGUAAAGGCUCACCAAGGCAACGAUCGGUAGCUGGUCUGAGAGGACGACCAGCCACACUGGGACUGAGACACGGCCCAGACUCCUACGGGAGGCAGCAGUGGGGAAUUUUGGACAAUGGGGGAAACCCUGAUCCAGCCAUGCCGCGUGCGGGAAGAAGGCCUUCGGGUUGUAAACCGCUUUUGGCAGGAACGAAACGGCGCGCGCUAAUACCGCGCGCUAAUGACGGUACCUGCAGAAUAAGCACCGGCUAACUACGUGCCAGCAGCCGCGGUAAUACGUAGGGUGCAAGCGUUAAUCGGAAUUACUGGGCGUAAAGCGUACGCAGGCGGCUGUGCAAGACAGGUGUGAAAUCCCCGGGCCCAACCUGGGAACUGCACUUGUGACUGCAUGGCUAGAGU
rnacentral:rRNA from 1 species